rnacentral:ncRNA from 2 species
CUGCUUUCCUGUGGUGAUUUGGCCGGUCGGCUUGCAGCCACGUUAAACAAGUCGCUAAAAGGCCGCGCGGACAUGCCU